rnacentral:rRNA from 1 species
CCUACGGGAGGCAGCAGUGGGGAAUAUUGCACAAUGGGCGCAAGCCUGAUGCAGCGACGCCGCGUGGGGGAUGACGGCCUUCGGGUUGUAAACCUCUUUCACCAUCGACGAAGGUCCGGGUUUUCUCGGACUGACGGUAGGUGGAGAAGAAGCACCGGCCAACUACGUGCCAGCAGCCGCGGUAAUACGUAGGGUGCGAGCGUUGUCCGGAAUUACUGGGCGUAAAGAGCUCGUAGGUGGUUUGUCGCGUUGUUCGUGAAAUCUCACGGCUUAACUGUGAGCGUGCGGGCGAUACGGGCAGACUAGAGUACUGCAGGGGAGACUGGAAUUCCUGGUGUAGCGGUGGAAUGCGCAGAUAUCAGGAGGAACACCGGUGGCGAAGGCGGGUCUCUGGGCAGUAACUGACGCUGAGGAGCGAAAGCGUGGGGAGCGAACAGGAU